rnacentral:rRNA from 1 species
UACGUAGGGCGCAAGCGUUAUCCGGAAUUAUUGGGCGUAAAGAGCUCAUAGGCGGUUUGUCGCGUCUGCCGUGAAAGUCCGGGGCUCAACUCCGGAUCUGCGGUGGGUACGGGCAGACUAGAGUGAUGUAGGGGAGACUGGAAUUCCUGGUGUAGCGGUGAAAUGCGCAGAUAUCAGGAGGAACACCGGUGGCGAAGGCGGGUCUCUGGGCCGUAACUGACGCUGAGGAGCGAAAGCAUGGGGAGCGAACAGG